UACAGAGGGUGCGAGCGUUAAUCGGAAUUACUGGGCGUAAAGCGUGCGUAGACGGUAGCGUAAGUCAGAUGUGAAAGCCCCGGGCUCAACUUGGGAAUUGCAGUGGAUACUGGCGAGCUAGAGUGCGGUAGAGGAAGGUGGAAUUCCCGGUGUAGCGGUGAAAUGCGUAGAGAUCGGGAGGAACACCAGUGGCGAAGGCGGCCUUCUGGACCGAGCACUGACACUCAAGCACGAAAGCGUGGGGAGCGAAC
rnacentral:rRNA from 1 species